rfam:Gossypium hirsutum cultivar TM-1 unplaced genomic scaffold scaffold278.1, whole genome shotgun sequence
AAUCCAUGGUGUGGGAACUUCUUUAGCAUAGUCUUAAAACUCUCCUGCGUCUCGUACAGGGACGCCCCUUCGUGUUGUUUAAAGUUGAAGAUUUCUUACCUAAGCU